rfam:Trichomalopsis sarcophagae strain Alberta scaffold72041, whole genome shotgun sequence.
UAAUCAGCUCUUUUUAGAGCUACCACUUUUUUAUAACGUAGAAAUA